rnacentral:rRNA from 1 species
ACUCCUACGGGAGGCAGCAGUGAGGAAUAUUGGUCAAUGGACGCAAGUCUGAACCAGCCAUGUCGCGUGCAGGAAGACUGCCCCUAUGGGUUGUAAACUGCUUUUAUACGGGAAGAAAUAUAGCUACGUGUAGUUAUUUUGCCGGUACCGUAUGAAUAAGCAUCGGCUAACUCCGUGCCAGCAGCCGCGGUAAUACGGAGGAUGCGAGCGUUAUCCGGAUUCAUUGGUUUAAAGGGUGCGUAGGCGGAAGUAUAAGUCAGGGGUGAAAGUUUGUGGCUCAACCAUAAAAUUGCCUUUGAUACUGUAUUUCUUGAGUACAUUUGAGGUAGGCGGAAUGUGUUGUGUAGCGGUGAAAUGCUUAGAUAUAACACAGAACACCGAUUGCGAAGGCAGCUUACUAAACUGUAACUGACGCUGAUGCACGAAAGCGUGGGGAUCGAACAGGAUUAGAUACCCUGGUAGCACAGAG